AUCCCGGUAGUUUAUAAAGAACCCUAAUCUGUGGCAUUAGAAGAAGCGACGACAACGCUCCGGGGUC
rnacentral:tRNA from 1 species